rnacentral:rRNA from 1 species
CCUACGGGAGGCAGCAGUGAGGAAUAUUGGUCAAUGGCCGAGAGGCUGAACCAGCCAUGCCGCGUGCGGGAGGACGGCCCUAUGGGUUGUAAACCGCUUUUGUCAGGGGGCAAUAAGGGCCACGCGUGGCCUGAUGAGAGUACCUGGCGAAUAAGCAUCGGCUAACUCCGUGCCAGCAGCCGCGGUAAU